CCUACGGGGAGCAGCAGUGGGGGAUAUUGCACAAUGGGGGGAACCCUGAUGCAGCGACGCCGCGUGGGUGAAGAAGCGCCUCGGCGCGUAAAGCCCUGUCAGCAGGGAAGAAAAUGACGGUACCUGAAGAAGAAGCCCCGGCUAACUACGUGCCAGAAGCCGCGGGAAUACGUAGGGGGCAAGCGUUAGCCGGAUUUACUGGGUGUAAAGGGGGCGCAGACGGCGAUGCAAGCCAGGAGUGAAAGCCCGGGGCCCAACCCCGGGACUGCUCUUGGAACUGCGUGGCUGGAGUGCAGGAGGGGCAGGCGGAAUUCCUGGUGUAGCGGUGAAAUGCGUAGAUAUCAGGAGGAACACCGGUGGCGAAGGCGGCCUGCUGGACUGCAACUGACGUUGAGGCCCGAAAGCGUGGGGAGCAAACAGGAUUAGAUACCCGAGUAGUC
rnacentral:rRNA from 1 species